AACCAUAGAAACCUGCGGAGUACCUGCGGAAGGAUCAUUAACCUUUCAAAAAACAGGGUGCGUCGCGGCCCCCCUCCGGGGGCGGUUUGGGGUCCUCCCCUUCACGCGCGCACGACUGCAUCCUUACUUUACGAGCACCUUCUGUUCUCCCUCGGCGGGGCAACCUGCCGUUGGAACCGAAUAAACCCUUUUUUGCAUCCAGCAUUACCCGUUCCGAAACAAACAAUCGUUACAACUUUU
rnacentral:misc_RNA from 1 species